CCCCUAGAUGUUCUGGGCCGCACGCGCGCUACACUGAACAGUUCAACAAGUCUUAACCUUGGCCGACAGGCCUGGGCAAUCUUUGAACAUCGAUCGUGAUCGGGAUAGAUUCUUGUAAUUUUUGAUCUUAAACGAGGAAUUCCUAGUAAACGCAAGUCAUCAGCUUGCAUUGAUUACGUCCCUGCCCUUUGUACACACCGCCCGUCGCACCUACCGAUUGAAUGGUCCGGUGAAAUCUCCGGACUGGCGUGAGUCGGAGCAAUCUGACAAACGCCGGAAAGUUGAUUAAACCUUACCAUUUAGAGGAAGGUGAAGUCGUAACA
rnacentral:rRNA from 1 species